CAAAGUAGAGCUUGAUUAAAGUUUUUUAUUUACAUUAAAAAGAUAAUUGUUUAUCCAAUUUAUUUUGA
rnacentral:tRNA from 1 species